CUUGCUUCAGCAGAAUAUAACUGUCAUUGAAUGAUACAGUGAAGAUCAGCAUGGUCCUUGCACAAGGAUGACACACAAAUUCAUGAAAUGUUCCAUAUUUUU
ensembl:snRNA U6 U6 spliceosomal RNA